AGCUGACACGGAUGAGGAGACACGUGUUUUUAUGGGUAAUUUGCUUCUAAGGCAUUUAUGUGAUGUCCCACUCUUUUCACCUUGGAGAUCUGAUGUCGGUG
rfam:Triticum aestivum genome assembly, contig: Triticum_aestivum_CS42_TGACv1_scaffold_393892_5AS